AGCGAACGCUGGCGGCAGGCCUAACACAUGCAAGUCGAACGGACCCUUCGGGGUUAGUGGCGGACGGGUGAGUAACACGUGGGAACGUGCCCUUUGGUUCGGAACAACUCAGGGAAACUUGAGCUAAUACCGGAUGUGCCCUUCGGGGGAAAGAUUUAUCGCCAUUGGAGCGGCCCGCGUCUGAUUAGCUAGUUGGUGAGGUAAAGGCUCACCAAGGCGACGAUCAGUAGCUGGUCUGAGAGGAUGAUCAGCCACAUUGGGACUGAGACACGGCCCAAACUCCUACGGGAGGCAGCAGUGGGGAAUCUUGCGCAAUGGGCGAAAGCCUGACGCAGCCAUGCCGCGUGAAUGAUGAAGGUCUUAGGAUUGUAAAAUUCUUUCACCGGGGACGAUAAUGACGGUACCCGGAGAAGAAGCCCCGGCUAACUUCGUGCCAGCAGCCGCCGUAACAC
rnacentral:rRNA from 1 species